rnacentral:rRNA from 1 species
CGAGGGGUGCAAGCGUUGCUCGGAUUUAUUGGGCGUAAAGGGUAGGUAGGUGGUCUCGUUUGUCAGGGGUGAAAUCCCUGGGCUUAACUUAGGAAGUGCCUCUGAAACGGCGAGACUUGAGUCCUGGAGAGGGUCGCGGAAUUCCCGGUGUAGCGGUGAAAUGCGUAGAGAUCGGGAGGAACACCAGAGGCGUAGGCGGCGACCUGGAAAGGCACUGACACUCAACUACGAAAGCGUGGGGAGCAAACAGGAUUAGAUACCCUGGUAGUCCACGCCGUAAACGAUGAGUACUAGGUUUGGUGGGUCUUCGACCCCCGCCGAGCCGGAGCUAACGCAAUAAGUACUCCGCCUGGGAAGUACGGUCGCAAGAACU